rnacentral:tRNA from 1 species
GCAGUUGUGGUUCACUGGUAGAAUUCUCACCUUCCACGCGGGAGACCCGGGUUCGAUUCUUGACCAAUGCG